rnacentral:rRNA from 1 species
GACGAACGCUGGCGGCGUGCCUAAUACAUGCAAGUAGAACGCUGAAGGAGGAGCUUGCUUCUCUGGAUGAGUUGCGAACGGGUGAGUAACGCGUAGGUAACCUGCCUGGUAGCGGGGGAUAACUAUUGGAAACGAUAGCUAAUACCGCAUAAGAGUAGAUGUCGCAUGACAUUUGCUUAAAAGGUGCAAUUGCAUCACUACCAGAUGGACCUGCGUUGUAUUAGCUAGUUGGUGAGGUAACGGCUCACCAAGGCAACGAAACAUAGCCGACCGGAGAGGGGGAGCGGCCACACUGGGACUGAGACAGGGCACAGACUGAUACGGGAGGGAGCAGUAGGGAAUCGGGGGCAAUGGACGGAAGUCUGACCGAGCAACGCCGAGGGAGUGAAGAAGGAUGUCGGAUCGGAAAGCUCUGUUGUAAGGGAAGAACGCGCGUGAGAGUGGAAAGUUGACACUGUGACGGUAACUUACCAGAAAGGGACGGCUAACUACGUG